UACUACCUAAAAAAUACGAAGAGGUUCCGUGAUCAGGCGAUACGUCGUCCGUUUCGUCCAUCAUUCGCUCUCCCGCAGACCGCACCUCACGAGAAAACCGCGUGGUCAAAGCAGCCCCGUGAGUCAACCCACGCCCAGCAUCACCUCAGCCUCCUGCAUCCCCGCGAUUUCUGUACCCAGCUCCUCACGAGAAAGCCACCCCUGCUACCCCGCCAUCCCUUCUGCUCGCCCUCACGCCUGCACCCACGCGACCGAAUCAGGGAUCCGGUAUCCGUGCCGCCGUGCCGGAGAACCUCUUAACCAGGAGUCCGGGAUUAGAGAAGGAUCCAGUGACGGCGAACUAGAUAAGGAGGAUUCAGUCCACCUCUCACCAGUGUGAUUGAUGCAUAUGAUCUGGGAUGGCUGUGGUGCUCCAUCAACGAAUAAAAGCAGGUCCUCAAACUCUCAGGUUUGGUAUUCCUCUACCUUAAUUUGUGUUAUACUUUGUUUCCUUGAAUUCAUGAAUGUCUACUUGGAUGGUUGGACUCUUUUAUGUGCUCUCAGAUGGAUAUUCGGGAUUUAUCCCCUAGCGAUGCCCGCCUCGCCACACACUGCAAUCCCUGCUCUCCCGACACAGAUCCGAUGGCGGGAGCCGCCUUGUCUAGCCUCAGCUUCCACACUCCUCUCACGCGGAUAUGUUGGGCUGGAUGACGCCGCCGUCCAACUCAACCCUCGACUGCUCCAUGAACUGUGCAGUCUAGGUCCUCCCUGAGUUUUCCCCGAGCUCCCGCCGCCGCUUCAGCACAGGAAUAUGCCUUUUAGGCCGAUGAUGUUUGGUUCUUCAUGUUUUCCUCAUCUCCAUGUUUCAAAUAUUUGGCCCCAAUUCUAAGUUAAUAAUACAUGGAAUUUCAUUUUAUUUUUACCAUGAAGGAGUCAAGUGUUAACACUAUAUCUUUGGCAUCACAAUAUCUGCAAAUGUUUAAUAAACACACAUUGAGUUUGGUUUGAUUCAUUUGCUUCAUUGCUAACUUUUAUCAUUAUGGAAUUGAGUAUUUCUUAACAAGAUGUUUCUUACCAGCCAAUAUCACCGCACCUAGAGACCCAACCCAGCACACCGCCCUUGCCACCCUUCCUUAUCCCGUUAAGCACUCCAUUGCUACCUACAGUGUCUGUUAAUUCGGUAGCAGACUCCCAAUUCACAAUACUAGCUUCUGUAGCACAAUUGGUAAGCACAAUUGUUUACCAGAAAGUUCAGGCCCAAGUCCUAUCUUAAUAGUCUUAUUUUGUGAUAAAAAGAAUAAUCUAUGGCACAGUCAAUGCUGGUCAGAUUGGUGAUAGAAUUUUUAAGCUGUUCCCACCCUUUUAUGUUGAGAGCUUAUUAUGUUGUGCUCUACUGCCAAAAUCCUGCUAAAUAUAAUACUAUCCUAUGAUAGAUCCCAAUUCACCGCAUCAGUUUCUGUAGCACAAUUGUUUUACCAGAAAGUCUAGGCCCAAGUCCAAAGUAGUAGAGAUAAAAAGGAGAAUCUAGGGCAUGUUAAAUGCUGGCCAGGUUAGUGAUAGAAUUUUUAAGUUGUUUCCACCCUUGUAUACGGAGAGCCUACUGCUUCCAAAUUAUAUUUUCUUUUGUUUCAUUGUAGUAAGCCAAGAUGGAAUCUGGGAAACGAAGAACUGUGGAAAUGGGCAGAAUAAAACCCUGUAUGUUGUAGCUACAACUUCCCGUUGUUGUCUUAUUUGAUUGACUAACAGUGUAUAAGGUGCAAAGUGCAUCAGUUCUAGGCCCUUUUAGGUAUCGUUGGAGUGUUGAAAAAAGUAUUUUUUUCUUACAGUCCAAAUUUAAUGUUGUAGAUUCUUUAGUGAGGACACUCAGUAGAACAGGGGCCUUGUACAAUUUUUCUAAUGCUUUGAUUGAUCCUGACCGAGUCUGUACAACACCAAUUACAUAAUACUGGAAACCACUUGCAGAAGAUGUAGCACUUUCAUUUCCCUUUCAUUGUCAUUUUGCACAUAUGGUUCAUCCAUCUUUUUUUAAAAAAAUACAUCAGCUUAUUAGCACAGCGCUCUAAUACUGAUUAUUGAAUGCUGAAUAGGUUGCAACUUGCUGAUCGUUUCUUGUUUGGUGACUUGCUAAUAGUGCUAGGCUAUUAGAAUUCUGUAAUAGAUUAGUUUGUAUUAAUGAAACAUAGUAUGUGAAA